UGGUUCUGGCAUCGAUGAAGAACGCAGCGAAAUGCGAUAAAUAAUGUGAAUUGCAGAAUUCAGUGAAUCAUCGAGUCUUUGAACGCACAUUGCGCCCGCCAGCAUUCUGGCGGGCAUGCCUGUUCGAGCGUCAUUUACAACCCCCAAGCCGCCCAUGCUUGGUGUUGGAGACCUACGGCUGUCGUAGUCUCCGAAGUUCAGUGGCGGGCUCGCCGCGACCCCGAGCGUAGUAAAACAUAUCCUCGCUCAGGGCUGCUCGCGGCGGACCCUUGCCGUUAAACACCCCCAAAACCGUGGCAUCGUCACGGAAUGUUGACCUCGGAUCAGGUAGGAAUACCCGCUGA
rnacentral:misc_RNA from 1 species